AACUUCUAAACAGCAAAACAUAAAAGAUACUGGAUAGAAUACAAUUAUCUGAGGGGGAAACCCCUCCCCCACUGGGGGGGGGAAAUCCUCCCCCACUGUCGUACUGAGGGAGGAGAAUACAGUACCUAACAGAAAAUGAAGUCGUGUUUACCUGUAUCUGAAGAAGGGUACAUUGAUGGCAGCCUUACCUGAUGCAGGUGCUAGAUUGUUGGUUGGUGUGCAUUUUGAGGAAAAGUUGUGAUUUGCAGAAGACCAGGAUGCAUGAGUAUUAGCACAAUACAAAGCGAAUACAUGCAAAGCAGGUAGAUUUCCUUCUGGCCUGUUCCAAGAAAAAGAGACCAUCCUACCCUGUCUUAUGAGGUCCCUGGAAAUGGUUUCACACACUUCAGCUGCAACCGAUUAUCAUAUUUGCUUGAAGCCAUCAGUUAUUUAGCUUCCCGACAAGAUGUAGCAAUCAACCAUCCAUCAUAAUUUAGUACUAAUGAAUACCUUCUCAGUAAUCAAAGGCAAA